ACGUGGUAGACUGAAGCGACUGAUAGCGCUGGCAUGUGCGUACCGACCGACGCGACCGAUGGGACGCGUGCAGGCGAGAAGAACAAUAAACAUUAUACACACUUUCGAUCACUACUGUAAAUGGUCACGUUUUAGGUUGGUGCUGUGUCUGCUCGUGUUGUGCAGGAUCGCGUUGGUGCCACAAUUUAUCUGCCUUCGUUGCACAUACCAACCGUCGAAGCGCUAAACGUUUAUAAAUGCGUUUGCUGCGGCUUGGACGGAAGAUUCAUUGUGCAGCGAUCAGCAUGGCGUGUGGUUACUCCUGUUGCGUUGUGGUUCUACUGCUGAGUGCUGCAGUGUUUAGUACAGUCAGCUGUGGCCUCGGUACACCCUGUAAGGUGCUGUGCGAAAAUGGCGCUGAAAUGAUUCCCUGUGAUAGGAAGACGGAGAUUUUCAACUGCUGCGGCCCAUGCAGUGAAGCUACCUGUGACGACCCUUCACCGAAGCAGGAAUGUGCGGAAGGAUGUAAGGCAGGUUGCUUCUGUAAGGCCGAUCACGUACGAAAGCAUGCCGGUGGGCCAUGUGUACCGAUCGGAACCUGCAAGCAGCAGCGAAAAUAAACAAUGUUCAUUGAAACUGAUCA